rnacentral:rRNA from 1 species
AGCCCGGAAAUGGGUACUGAGACAGGACCCAGGCCCUAUGGGGCGCAGCAGGCGAGAAAACUUUGCAAUGCGCGAAAGCUCGACAAGGUUAAUCUGAGUGGUUCCUGCUAAAGGAACCUUUUGUUAGUCGUAAACCACUGAUGAAUAAGGGGUGGGCAAGUUCUGGUGUCAGCCGCCGCGGUAA